UACGAAGGGGGCUAGCGUUGUUCGGAAUUACUGGGCGUAAAGCGCACGUAGGCGGAUCUUUAAGUCAGGGGUGAAAUCCUGGAGCUCAACUCCAGAACUGCCUUUGAUACUGGGGAUCUCGAGUCCGGAAGAGGUGAGUGGAACUCCGAGUGUAGAGGUGAAAUUCGUAGAUAUUCGGAAGAACACCAGUGGCGAAGGGCGGCUCACUGGUCCGGUACUGACGCUGAGGUGCGAAAGCGUGGGGAGCAAACAGG
rnacentral:rRNA from 1 species